rnacentral:rRNA from 1 species
CCUGGUUGGUCCUGCUAGUAGUCAUAUGCUUGUCUCAAAGAUUAAGCCAUGCAUGUAUAAGUAUGAACUAAUUCAGAUUGUGAAACUGCGAAUGGCUCAUUAAAUCAUUUAUAGUUUGUUUGAUGGUACCUACUAUUCGGAUAACCAUAGUAAUUCAAGAGCUAAUAUGUGAAACAAACUCCGACUUCUGGAAGGGAUGUAUUUAUUAGAUAAAAGGUCAAUGCGGUCUUUGUUCAUUGCUCUGAUGAUUCAAGAUAACUCGACGGUUCGCACGACCCUCGUGCCAGUGACGCAUCAUUCAAAAUUCUACCCUAUCAACUUUCGAUGGUAGGAUAGUGGCCUACUAUGGUGGUGACAGGUGACGGAAAAUUAAGGUUCUAUUCCGGAGAGGGAGCCUGAGAAACGGCUACCACAUUCAAGGAAGGUAGCAGGCGCGCAAAUUACCUAAUCCUGACACGGGGAGGCAGUGACAAUAAAUAACAAUAUCGGGCUCUAUGAGUCUUGUAAUUGGAAUUAGUUCAAUCUAAAUCCCUUAAUGAGGAUCCAUUGGAGGGCAAGUCUGGUGCCAGUAGCCGCGGUAAUUCCAGGUCCAAUAGCAUAUAUUUAUGUUGUUGCACUAAAAAAACUCGUAGUUUGACUUUGGGAUGGGCCGAUCGAUCCGGCCUUGGGUGUGAACUAGUCCUCCAGUCCCUUCGAUCGGUGAUGUGCUCCUGGUCUUAAUUGACCGAGUCGUGCCUCCUGUUCUGUUACUUUGAAGAAAUUAUAGUACUCAAAGCAAGCCCAAGCUCUGGAUACAUUAGCAUGGGAUAACAUCAUAGGAUUUUGGCCCUAUUACGUUGGCCUUCGAGAUCGGAGUAAUGAUUAAAAUGGACAACCGGGAGAAUUCGUAUUUCAUAGUCAGAGGUGAAAUUCUUGGAUUUAUGAAAGACGAAUUAAUGCGAAAGCAUUUGCCAAUGAUGUUUCAUUAAUGAAGAACGAUAGUUGGGGGCUCAAAAAUGAUCAGAUGCUGUCCUAGUCUCAACCAUAAACGAUGUCGACCAGGGAUCGGCGGGUGUUGCUCAUAGGACUCCGCUAGCACCUUAUGAAAAAUCAAAUUUUUUGGGUUCCAGGGGGAAUAUGGUCGCAAGGCUAAAACCUAAUUGAAUUGACGGAAGGCACCACUAGGAGUGGAGCCUGCAGCUUAAUUUUACCAGGUCCAUACAUAGUAAGGAUUAAUACAUUGAGAGCUCUUUCUUGAUUCUAUGCGUGGUUGUGCAUGGUCGUUCUUAGUUGAUGGAGCGAUUUGUCUGGUUAAUUCCGUUAACGAAUGAGCCCUCAGCCUGCUAACUAGAUAUGUGGAGGUGACCCUCCAUAGCCAGCUUCUUAGAGGGACUAUGGCCGUUUAGGCCACGAAAGUUUGAGGCAAUAACAGGUCUGUGAUGCCCUUAGAUGUUCUGGGUCGCACGCGCGCUACACUGAUGUAUUCAACAAGUCUAUAGCCUUGGCCGACAAGCCUGGGUAAUCUUUGAAAAUUUCAUCAUGAUGGGGAUAGAUCAUUGCAAUUGUUGGUCUUCAACGAGAAAUUCCCAGUAAACACGAGCCAUUAGCUCGCGUUGACUACGUCCCUGCCCUUUGUACACACCGCCCGUUGCUCUUAUCGAUUGAAUGGUCUGGUGAAGUGUUCGGAUUGCGCUGACGUGGGUUGUUCGCCCCCAGCGAUGUCGCGUUACUAAACCUUAUCAUUUAGAGGAAGGAAGGGUCGUAACUAGGUUUCCGUAGGUACACUUGCGGAAG